UACGGAGGGUGCGAGCGUUAAUCGGAAUUACUGGGCGUAAAGCGCAUGCAGGUGGUUUGUUAAGUCAGAUGUGAAAGCCCGGGGCUCAACCUCGGAAUUGCAUUUGAAACUGGCAGACUAGAGUACUGUAGAGGGGGGUAGAAUUUCAGGUGUAGCGGUGAAAUGCGUAGAGAUCUGAAGGAAUACCGGUGGCGAAGGCGGCCCCCUGGACAGAUACUGACACUCAGAUGCGAAUGCGUGGGGAGCAAACAGG
rnacentral:rRNA from 1 species